CUCAUUUUCUAUCUAUCAGUUUAGUCGGUUGUAGGUGAUAAAAAUUUGGUUAAUAUUUGGCUAAUAAAUAACUCGAUGGGAAAAAAAAAGAAAAUGUAUAUCUUGAAUUUAUCCUACAACAUGAAAACUGGCUGAAAUAUAUCAAAAUGCCAUGCAAGACGUAUUGGUACAGUUAAACCAUGAUACACGUGGUGCGGCAGAGUCUGCUGGAUUUUUUUUUGUAAUUUGGAGGUAAGCAAUCGCUGGCAUGGAAUUCGGCGCUAUCCACUGUUGUACAUACCGGAUUGACCUGAUGAAGUCCUUCAUUGACAAAGGGCUGCUGCCUAAGUGUACAACACACUGCUACAACAACAACUGGCCUUCACACGCGUUUGGCUGUUCCCCCCUGCCGUUUGAAAAUGGAUUUGCGGAAUAGCCAUAUUACUUUCAAUAGGAUAUAUUUCACCCAUAUACAUAUGACCGGUGACAAACUCAUUGAGGUGCCUAUGUGACGUAGAACAGAGCUGUUUAAAGGAACUUAAGGCGUUAGGUCCGCCAGGUUCCAUAUUUAGUAAACAUUCUGCUCGUAACAUGCCGCUUGGACAACAAGCUAAAUAGACAACAUCAU